rnacentral:rRNA from 1 species
AUUGAACGCUGGCGGCGUGCCUAACACAUGCAAGUCGAACGAGAAAGUGGGCUUCGGCCCGCAAGUAAAGUGGCAGACGGGUGAGUAACGCGUGGGUAACCUGCCCUCAGGUGAGGAAUAACCCUUCGAAAGGAGGGCUAAUACCGCAUAACAUCUCGAGCUCCUCGGGGCUCGCGAUCAAAGCUAGCCUCUGCUUGCAAGCUAGCGCCGGUGGAGGGGCCCGCGUCCCAUUAGCUAGUUGGUGAGGUAACGGCUCACCAAGGCAACGAUGGGUAGCCGGCCUGAGAGGGUGACCGGCCACACUGGAACUGAGACACGGUCCAGACUCCUACGGGAGGCAGCAGUGAGGAAUUUUGCGCAAUGGGCGAAAGCCUGACGCAGCGACGCCGCGUGGAGGACGAAGGUCUUCGGAUCGUAAACUCCUGUCAAGCGGGACGAAAUCCGGUUGGAUGAAUAAGCCGGCCGGUUGACGGUACCGCUGAAGGAAGCCCCGGCUAACUCCGUGCCAGCAGCCGCGGUAACAC